CUGCCUGCCUGCUCAAGAUUGGAAGAGGAGAUGGAAUAAAUUGAGACUGCAGGACAAAGAGAAGCGUCUGAAACUAGAAGACGAUUCUGAGGAAAGCGAUGCCGAGUUCGAUGAAGGUUUUAAAGUGCCGGGCUUUCUGUUCAAAAAGCUUUUCAAGUACCAGCAGACAGGUGUUAGGUGGCUGUGGGAAUUGCACUGCCAGCAGGCAGGAGGAAUUCUGGGAGACGAAAUGGGAUUGGGCAAGACCAUCCAGAUAAUUGCCUUCUUGGCAGGUCUGAGCUACAGCAAGAUCAGGACUCGCGGUUCAAAUUACAGGCAAGUGCUCCUCUGCAGACUGUCAGUCUGUGGAGCUCAAUUAAUAUUUCAUCAGAUGUAUUGCUGUGGAGGAGGGUCUUGUGAAUUAUUGAUGACAUUUCAAUUACAAUAUUCCUUUAAUUCUUUUAGUGGGGGAC